GUGGGGAAUUUUGGACAAUGGGCGCAAGCCUGAUCCAGCAAUGCCGCGUGCAGGAAGAAGGCCUUCGGGUUGUAAACUGCUUUUGUACGGAACGAAACGGUCCGGGUUAAUACCCUGGGCUAAUGACGGUACCGUAAGAAUAAGCACCGGCUAACUACGUGCCAGCAGCCGCGGUAAUACGUAGGGUGCAAGCGUUAAUCGGAAUUACUGGGCGUAAAGCGUGCGCAGGCGGUUUUGUAAGACAAGCGUGAAAUCCCCGGGAUCAACCUGGGAAUUGCGCUUGUGACUGCAAGGCUGGAGUGCGGCAGAGGGGGAUGGAAUUCCGGGUGUAGCAGUGAAAUGCGUAGAUAUGCGGAGGAACACCGAUGGCGAAGGCAAUCCCCUGGGCCUGCACUGACGCUCAUGCACGAAAGCGUGGGGAGCAAACAGGAUUAGAAACCCGAGUAGUCC
rnacentral:rRNA from 1 species